rnacentral:rRNA from 1 species
UGGGGAAUAUUGCACAAUGGGCGCAAGCCUGAUGCAGCCAUGCCGCGUGUGUGAAGAGGGCCUUCGGGUUGUAAAGCACUUUCAGCGAGGAGGAAGGGUUCAGUGUUAAUAGCACUGUUCAUUGACGUUACUCGCAGAAGAAGCACCGGCUAACUCCGUGCCAGCAGCCGCGGUAAUACGGAGGGUGCAAGCGUUAAUCGGAAUUACUGGGCGUAAAGCGCACGCAGGCGGUUUGUUAAGUCAGAUGUGAAAUCCCCGCGCUUAACGUGGGAACUGCAUUUGAAACUGGCAAGCUAGAGUCUUGUAGAGGGGGGUAGAAUUCCAGGUGUAGCGGUGAAAUGCGUAGAGAUCUGGAGGAAUACCGGUGGCGAAGGCGGCCCCCUGGACAAAGACUGACGCUCAGGUGCGA